rnacentral:misc_RNA from 1 species
AAUAAAAUAAAAUAAAAUAAAUAACUUGUCCAGAAACAAAAACUUGAACUUGGGCAGAACUGCCAAAUCAGGUGGAGGAAAAAUCGUCGACCUCAAUUCACUAAGCAUAUGCCUCAAAAGACGAGAUGUUGAACACUAAGGAUAAAGGUUUCUAAUCAAAGUGUCACAAUUUUAAAGUGAUAAAAAUAUAUUAAACAAGUAGAACAUGUUAGUCAAUCCUUAUACCAACAAAGCAAGAUGGGUAACAGUAAGACAACUACGAUUAUCUGGUGU